rnacentral:rRNA from 1 species
AUUCCAGCUCCAAUAGCGUAUAUUAAAGUUGUUGCAGUUAAAAAGCUCGUAGUUGGAUUUCUGGCGGGAUGAACACGCCCUCAGCUGAGUGUGCAUGAGCGUCUCACCAUCCUUCUGUUAACCCUUAAGGUUUUAACGACCUUCUGGGGGCUCAGAUAUUUUACCUUGAGAAAAUUAGAGUGUUUCAGGCAGGCUAGCGCCGGGAUACAUAGCAUGGAAUAAUGGAAUAGGACUUUUUCCUCUUCUGUUGGUCUGAGGGGUUCGAGUAAUGAUUAAUAGGGAUAGUUGGGGGCAUUAGUACUUUGCUGUCAGAGGUGAAAUUCUCGGAUUUGCAAAAGACUAACUUAUGCGAAAGCAUUUGCCAAGGAUGUUUUCAUCA